rnacentral:rRNA from 1 species
AUACGGAGGAUCCAAGCGUUAUCCGGAUUUAUUGGGUUUAAAGGGUGCGCAGGCGGCCUUAUAAGUCAGUGGUGAAAUCUCCCGGCUCAACCGGGAAACUGCCAUUGAUACUGUAGGGCUAGAAUACAGACGAGGUAGGCGGAAUGUAGCAUGUAGCGGUGAAAUGCUUAGAUAUGCUACAGAACACCGAUCGCGAAGGCAGCUUACCAGACUGUAAUUGACGCUAAGGCACGAAAGCGUGGGGAGCGAACAGGAUUAGAAACCCUAGUAGUCC